GAGUUUGAUCCUGGCUCAUGAUGAACGCUAGCUACAGGCUUAACACGUGCAAGUCGAGGGGCAGCAUGUUGGUUGCUUGCAACCAACGAUGGCGACCGGCGCACGGGUGAGUAACGCGUAUCCAACCUACCCUUGUCCAUCGGAUAACCCGUCGAAAGGCGGCCUAACACGAUAUGCGGUUCACGGCAGGCAUCUAAGGUGAACGAAAUGUGAAGGAGAAGGAUGGGGAUGCGUCUGAUUAGCUUGUUGGCGGGGUAACGGCCACCAAGGCUACGAUCAGUAGGGGUUCUGAGAGGAAGGUCCCCACAUUGGAACUGAGACACGGUCCAAACUCCUACGGGAGGCA
rnacentral:rRNA from 1 species